rnacentral:rRNA from 1 species
AACGCAGCGAAGGGCGAUAAGUAGUGUGAAUUGCAGAAUUCAGUGAAUCAUCGAAUCUUUGAACGCACAUUGCGCUUCCUGGUAUUCCGGGGAGCACGCUCGUUUCAGAAUCAUUAAACUCUCAAAAACCAUACGGUUUUCGGACCGUGUGGGGCUUGGAUGUGUGCGGGAACUGCCCUUCGGGGGCAGCCGCUUUAAUUUGAUUGUGUGUGUCACGGUAAACCAUGCCGGGAACACAAGAGCAACAGAUUUCUAUUUCUCUUGUGACUCGGACGUGUGAUAUCGGGUCAUCCACCCCAUCAAUUAUACAGGAUGCGCCUCUACUUUGAUGCGUGUUCUGAUUACUUGGUCUGAAAUCGAGCAAGAAAACCCGCUGAACUUAA